GACGUAGGGCGCGAGCGUUGUCCGGAUUUAUUGGGCGUAAAGAGCUCGUAGGCGGCUUGUUGCGUCGACUGUGAAAACCUGCGGCUCAACCGUGUGGUCUGCAGUCGAUACGGGCAGGCUGGAGUUCGGUAGGGGAGACUGGAAUUCCUGGUGUAGCGGUGAAAUGCGCAGAUAUCAGGAGGAACACCAGUGGCGAAGGCGGUGCUCUGGGCCGGAACUGACGCUGAGGAGCGAAAGCGUGGGGAGCGAACAGG
rnacentral:rRNA from 1 species